CCUACGGGGGGCAGCAGUGAGGAAUAUUGGUCAAUGGACGCAAGUCUGAACCAGCCAUGCCGCGUGCAGGAAGACGGCUCUAUGAGUUGUAAACUGCUUUUGUACGAGGGUAAACGCAGAUACGCGUAUCUGUCUGAAAGUAUAGUACGAAUAAUGAUCGGCUAACUCCGUGCCAGCAGCCGCGGUAAUACGGAGGAUGCAAGCGUUAUCCGGAUUUAUUGGGUUUAAAGGGUGCGUAGGCGGUUGGAUAAGUUAGAGGUGAAAUCCCGGGGCUCAACGCCGGAAUUGCACCUGAUACUGUUGGACUAGAGAGUAGUUGGGGUAGGCGGAAUGGAUGGUGUAGCGGUGAAAUGCUUAGAGAUCAUACAGAACACCGAUUGCGAAGGCAGGUUACCAAGCUACAUCUGACGUUGAGGCACGAAAGCGUGGGGAGCAAACGGGAUUAGAUACCCGAGUAGUC
rnacentral:rRNA from 1 species